AAAACCGUUGACGUCAUCACCGUCGCGGGCAGCGCGAUCUGGCGGACGGUAACUACACAUACGUAGAUUGCAUAAUAAUAAUAAUAAUAAUUACAUAGUUAAGUUUAGUCAGGUAUAUUAAAAUAAGUAUUAUGUACGACGAAAGUCCAGGAAGAGAACCUAUGAGUUACGAAACGUUAUUUACUUGUACUGUACACAAUAUGUACGCACAGUGUUUCCAUAACAAUACGUAAUAUUUAUGUUUUUGAUUGAUAGGUAAUUUAAAUGAAAAAUGAUUGGUAUUUAUUACGAUUAAAUACAUACAAUCUGAAAGCCGUUUAUUAUCGGCCGAUCGCGAUGUGCAAUCUGUAUAUCUUAAUCGUGGUAUUUAUUAUUUAUUCCAGUGUUUCACGAAAAAAAAUAUUUCAACGAUCGACUUGUUCGUCGAACACAGAAUUGAUUUCAAAUGAUCUGUUUGGCUUAUCUUUUUGUGUCUUUUUUAUAUUUUUUUUUUUGUGAGUGCGAAUUUAUUAUUGAAUAAUUGCUACCGGAUAAGUAACAUUGACCUAUUACAGCUGCAUACGCCACACACCAAUAGAUGUCGCUUCUGUAAUGUGUCAGAAAUCGAAAUAGAAUAUACAGCGAAGUCAGGCCUUGAGGAAACGCGGAACUCUCUUUCUCUAUAAAACGGUCACCAAAAAAAAAAAAAGACUGAAGACACUAAAGACCACUGAUUGUUGAUAAUAGUAUGUUCUUCGAUGGCUGAAGUAUGAAAAAAAUGUAUAGAUUCUUUAUAAUCAGUUAUCGUUCGGGACAUCAUUUUUUUUUUUAUAUAAAAGGCUUUUGUGAAAAUAUGAUGUUCGAUUGAGGAAUACUGUCCUCCACCCACCAUUAGAGAAGAUGAGUCAAAGAAUCAGGGACAAAAGGUCCCAGUCAAUAACAAGUCAUCCCUAGUGCACCGCUAAUGAUGGCGGUACUAGCCUAGGGAUUACACCCGGAGUUAUUGGGAGACAUGCUUCCGUUGUAAAAAUCGGAUAAUGAUGUGCUUUUUUUGGGGACCCGGGUGCUGAGACUACCGAUAUAAUUGGACCGUGAAAUACGCAGAGAUAACAAGCUAUAUGAAAUGGCUGGUUUGACAAUAUUUGACGAAUAAUGGAAGUUUGGAACGGCUUGGAGAGCUAAUCUACACAGUUGACUAAUACUAAUGAUUUAUACCGAUUUUGAUUACAAAAUUGUGUCAAUCGUAUCGUUUCGGUAUGGUGAAGAUAAAAGAUUGACUAAAUAUAAAAAAAAAAAAACAGUUUAUGUGAUUUACAUAAUUUUCCUGAGCUCUUGUGGAUUUUUUGGAUAGUUUUGAAUUAGCGAGUUAGAAUUUAGAACUUGCUGGAAAGCUUUUUUGUUAAGGAUUUUCUAUGAAAAACCUUGGAAUUAUCAAGCAUACGCAUGAAAAUACUGCAAUACUAUAUAGAUUUCAUCACAAAUCAAAAAAUGAAUAUGAUGAUUGGCUCAAUGCGUUUCCCAUUUGUUUUACUAUUCAUAUUAUUAUACUCAGAGUUUCGUAGAAUAAUUAUGUUGGUGUGUUGUCGACGAAAUAAAUUUGGUUUCAAGGCAAAACUAUCUGCACAUUGUAUUCAUAGUAAUCUAGAAGAAGCAUUUAUAAAUCUUACUUAAUUAAGAUAUAACAAUAAAUUUAUAAUUUCACAAAAUAA